rnacentral:pre_miRNA from 1 species
AAUAGUUUAAUGUCACAUCAAGUUUUUUUUCCUGAAUUUUAGUAUUUUCCUCUUAAAAGAAUCAAAAUCCAAUUGAAAAUGUUAAAAUUCAAGAGAAAAGAACUAAUGUGGCAUUAAACUAUU